rnacentral:rRNA from 1 species
GGGUUGUGAGGUUAAGCGACUAAGCGUACACGGUGGAUGCCCUGGCAGUCAGAGGCGAUGAAGGACGUGCUAAUCUGCGAUAAGCGUCGGUAAGGUGAUAUGAACCGUUAUAACCGGCGAUUUCCGAAUGGGGAAACCCAGUGUGUUUCGACACACUAUCAUUAACUGAAUCCAUAGGUUAAUGAGGCGAACCGGGGGAACUGAAACAUCUAAGUACCCCGAGGAAAAGAAAUCAACCGAGAUUCCCCCAGUAGCGGCGAGCGAACGGGGAGCAGCCCAGAGCCUGAAUCAGUGUGUGUGUUAGUGGAAGCGUCUGGAAAGGCGCGCGAUACAGGGUGACAGCCCCGUACACAAAAAUGCACAUACUGUGAGCUCGAUGAGUAGGGCGGGACACGUGGUAUCCUGUCUGAAUAUGGGGGGACCAUCCUCCAAGGCUAAAUACUCCUGACUGACCGAUAGUGAACCAGUACCGUGAGGGAAAGGCGAAAAGAACCCCGGCGAGGGGAGUGAAAAAGAACCUGAAACCGUGUACGUACAAGCAGUGGGAGCACGCUUAGGCGUGUGACUGCGUACCUUUUGUAUAAUGGGUCAGCGACUUAUAUUCUGUAGCAAGGUUAACCGAAUAGGGGAGCCGAAGGGAAACCGAGUCUUAACUGGGCGUUAAGUUGCAGGGUAUAGACCCGAAACCCGGUGAUCUAGCCAUGGGCAGGUUGAAGGUUGGGUAACACUAACUGGAGGACCGAACCGACUAAUGUUGAAAAAUUAGCGGAUGACUUGUGGCUGGGGGUGAAAGGCCAAUCAAACCGGGAGAUAGCUGGUUCUCCCCGAAAGCUAUUUAGGUAGCGCCUCGUGAAUUCAUCUCCGGGGGUAGAGCACUGUUUCGGCAAGGGGGUCAUCCCGACUUACCAACCCGAUGCAAACUGCGAAUACCGGAGAAUGUUAUCACGGGAGACACACGGCGGGUGCUAACGUCCGUCGUGAAGAGGGAAACAACCCAGACCGCCAGCUAAGGUCCCAAAGUCAUGGUUAAGUGGGAAACGAUGUGGGAAGGCCCAGACAGCCAGGAUGUUGGCUUAGAAGCAGCCAUCAUUUAAAGAAAGCGUAAUAGCUCACUGGUCGAGUCGGCCUGCGCGGAAGAUGUAACGGGGCUAAACCAUGCACCGAAGCUGCGGCAGCGACGCUUAUGCGUUGUUGGGUAGGGGAGCGUUCUGUAAGCCUGUGAAGGUGUGCUGUGAGGCAUGCUGGAGGUAUCAGAAGUGCGAAUGCUGACAUAAGUAACGAUAAAGCGGGUGAAAAGCCCGCUCGCCGGAAGACCAAGGGUUCCUGUCCAACGUUAAUCGGGGCAGGGUGAGUCGACCCCUAAGGCGAGGCCGAAAGGCGUAGUCGAUGGGAAACAGGUUAAUAUUCCUGUACUUGGUGUUACUGCGAAGGGGGGACGGAGAAGGCUAUGUUGGCCGGGCGACGGUUGUCCCGGUUUAAGCGUGUAGGCUGGUUUUCCAGGCAAAUCCGGAAAAUCAAGGCUGAGGCGUGAUGACGAGGCACUACGGUGCUGAAGCAACAAAUGCCCUGCUUCCAGGAAAAGCCUCUAAGCAUCAGGUAACAUCAAAUCGUACCCCAAACCGACACAGGUGGUCAGGUAGAGAAUACCAAGGCGCUUGAGAGAACUCGGGUGAAGGAACUAGGCAAAAUGGUGCCGUAACUUCGGGAGAAGG